AAGCGGAGGAAAAGAAACUAACAAGGAUUCCCCUAGUAACUGCGAGUGAAGCGGGAAAAGCUCAAAUUUAAAAUCUGAUAGUCUUUAUGGCUGUCCGAGUUGUAAUCUAGAGAAGUGCUUUCCGCGUUGGACCGUGUACAAGUCUCUUGGAACAGAGCGUCAUAGAGGGUGAGAAUCCCGUCUUUGACACGGACUACCAGUGCUUAUGUGAUGCGCUCUCAAAGAGUCGAGUUGUUUGGGAAUGCAGCUCAAAAUGGGUGGUAAAUUCCAUCUAAAGCUAAAUAUUGGCGAGAGACCGAUAGCGAACAAGUACCGUGAGGGAAAGAUGAAAAGAACUUUGGAAAGAGAGUUAAACAGUACGUGAAAUUGUUGAAAGGGAAACGCUUGAAGUCAGUCACGUUGGCCAGAAAUCAACCCUCAUGGGUGUACUUUCUGGUUUUACGGGUCAGCAUCAAUUUUGAUUGUUGGAUAAAAGUCAAUAUUUAUGCAUUUUCGGAUGUAUAGCCUUUGGUUGCAUACAACAGUUGGGAUUGAGGAACUCAGCAUGCCGCAAGGCCGGGUCACUUGUGAUCACGUACAUGCUUAGGAUGCUGGCAUAAUGGCUUUAAUCGACCCGUCUUGAA
rnacentral:rRNA from 1 species